rnacentral:rRNA from 1 species
UGAGGAAUAUUGCACAAUGGGCGCAAGCCUGAUGCAGCGACGCCGCGUGUGGGAUGAAGGGGCUACGCCUCGUAAACCACUGCAGCCCGGGACGAAAAACGCCUUAGAGGCGUUAGACGGUACCGGGAAAGUAAGGGUCGGCUAACUACGUGCCAGCAGCCGCGGUAAUACGUAGGACCCAAACGUUGUCCGGAUUUACUGGGUGUAAAGGGUGCGCAGGCGGAUGGGUAAGUCAGGGGUGAAAGUCUGCAGCUUAACUGUAGAAUUGCCUUUGAUACUGCUCAUCUUGAGUGUGGGAGAGGUAGAUGGAAUUCCGGGUGUAGCAGUGAAAUGCGUAGAUAUCAGGAGGAACACCGGCGGUGUAGACGGCUUGCUAGACCAUAACUGACGCUGAGGCACGAAAGCGUGGGUAGCAAACA